UUGGAGGGAAAACAAAAAAAAACCCUAAUUUUUUCAUUUUCCAAAAUUUUGCCUCAAAAUUGUAGUGAAAGAGAGAUCAAAACUUUAUCGUCAGUUGCUUGAAAUCACCAGAAUACAUCGCAUAACUCUGAUUUCAGAGAACUGUGGUUAAAAAAAGUGUAAUUAAUCGACGAAAAUGGGCACUAAACGAAGAAGGGGUGAUGGAGGAAUGGAAGAGAACACGACGACAAUUCUUGAUACUUAUUGUUUCAGUAAAUCUACUGAACAUAUAGCUGAUGACAGGCUAUCUUUUCUUGAAGCUGUUCGUUCUGGUUUUCUUGUUACUGAGAAUUCUGCUGGACCAACAAACAAAAUGUACAAGGCAAUAUUCAAGAUACUGAGAGUUGA